UGUAAAUAUAUAUAGACUAUAUUUUAGUUUUCUGACAGCGCAAAUUUUAUAUUUUAUUAUUUUUUAUUAAAAAUAUAGUGUGAACAGCGUCUUAUUAUGUGUUAUCCAACACAGUUGCUGGUUAUCGACUUUUGUUAUUAAAUGUUGGCUUUUAAUAUUUACUUUCAUUACUACGCAUUUAAUAUUUUUGUGCAAUGAGCGCAUUAAACUUUAUAACACAAUUUAUAUUGAAGAUUAUAUGUAUGUAUGUAUGUAUGUUUAUGCAUUUUCUAUUAUAUUUAAAGUUGUCUGGAGUUCGGCGCCCACUUUCAACUCAACUCGCUAUGCGUAUUGAUGCGCUUGCAUUGUCUACAAUUGAAUUGUAUUGUACUUGCGGCACUCACGUUUAAUUUAAUCGCCACAUUUGUAAACUUCGAUAUCUAUAUAAGCGCAUGAAUAACACUUCGGUCGCAAUCAACACUUGGCAAACAAACAAAUGCGCUGAAAACUUUAUGCAACUCCUUGUAGAGCACAGCCAGCAGUGACAACAAUAAAUAUAACAACAAAUAUAGUGUAGUGUACAAAGAAAAAACACAAUGUGAGCAAGAAAAAUCGAAAAGUAAUAUUGAAGCAGUAAAACAUUUUAAUGAAGAAAUAAACUUCAUGUUGUGAAACUUA